UACGUAGGGUGCGAGCGUUAAUCGGAAUUACUGGGCGUAAAGCGUGCGUAGGCGGUUCGUUAAGUCUGUUGUGAAAGCCCCGGGCUCAACCUGGGAAUGGCAAUGGAUACUGGCGAGCUAGAGUGUGUCAGAGGAUGGUGGAAUUCCCGGUGUAGCGGUGAAAUGCGUAGAGAUCGGGAGGAACAUCAGUGGCGAAGGCGGCCAUUUGGGACAACACUGACGCUGAGGCACGAAAGCGUGGGGGAGCAAACAGG
rnacentral:rRNA from 1 species